rnacentral:lncRNA from 1 species
GAGUGUCCGCUGUGAGCCUCGGGAUGGGUCCCGGGAAGGAAACCAGUGAGGCUCGCGCGUUACAGGGCAUGAGGAAAUUACAGACUCUGAAGUUUGUGAGGCCAUCUUAAGCGAUCAUUUUACACAGAAAAAGCAAUUCUGGUCGAUUACAAAAGCCUCCACUGCCCAGAAUAUAGUUCGGCCUGGACAUGAGCUGGUGUCAGACUCCAGAAAGUGCAUUCUGUCCGGCACAGACAACCUGGGAAUCAAAGCUCUCUGGUAGCUGAUGCCCGCUCCCUUUCCAACGCUCAGUGCCGUUCCUCCUUCCUCUGCUCCCUCAGACGGAACCGGGCUGGCUGCCGCUGUUCUGAGAAGCCUGCGGCUGAGUGCGGGCUUGACAUGAGAUAUUUAUCAUCUCAGGAUGUCUUCCCUCAGAUCGCCGGCUCUCCACCCCCAGACUUCUUUAUCUUAUUUUGCUAAACAAGAUGAGUUUCCAUCACUGCUAGAAGUAGUGAUUAAUUCUGCCGAAGCUUCCUGCCCUUGCUGGGUAAUUUGCUGUGUUUGGGAAGAAGAUGCUCACUGCACAGCUCUGCUGUCAGAGGUGUCCCUACUGCUUUGUCAAACGCUCGCACCUCUAUUGUCUUCUGCCAAAUCCGUCAGGCCUGUGGUCCUUUCCUCAUUUGCCGGUUCUGAGUUUUCUGUGGGGACGACUGAUGCGGGGUCUGUGGGGAGACUGUGUCAGGAGGCUGGGGUGGGCUGGGGAGGGCCCCCGGCGGUGGCUCCAAGGCGUCUCCGCCGUGAUGGAGAACAGAGUGGCUGGCUGCCCCACUGUCAGCCGGUUCUGAAAGUGGGAAUGACUCAGCUGAGCUGA